UAUUAUACCGUUACACUGGGCCACAUACUGGGCUUUCUCUUCCUGUCCUACUUGAAUCUCUCUCUAUAUAUCCUUCCACGUCCAGACCGAAGGUCCAGUAAGCAUGAUUUGUGGUGCCAAAAUCAACUACCAGAACCCACUGUGAUCAGGGGCGCAGCCAGGACUUUUUUAGAAUCGCCUCUGACUGUGAUGAGCAGCGGCCAACCCUAAACCCCUCAGCACCAACCGUAACAGGCAUCAAAUACUUCCGCUUGUGCAAGAUCCCAGCGCGUCGAUCUACAGAUGCCAAAAGCACCCUCUAGCGUCUGUUUCUGACACACAAGGCAGGAAAUUCCACAUGUGAUUCAGUGCAUAUGAACAGGCAAACUGCGGCUGUAGCACAUUUGCCAAGCACAAGGGAAUCAAGCAUGUAAACAAGCUGUUCAUACAAACUUCAAUUUACAUUUUAAGAAGCACUUAUUACUUGCUCUCGUAAACGACUACAAGCAAAAUCAGAAAUGAUUUUCACAGCAAGUUGCACUAAACAGAAUGGGAAAAAUAACCAAACAAGAAACCACAGGAUCAACAAGCUAUUGCUGUGCAAUGCCUGACAUUUUAAUGACAGCAGUAACCGAAUUCAUACUGACAGCACUCACCAAAUAAAGCAAUUAAUUUGGUCAAUUUACGCAGCCAUAACGACAAGUGAGACACCAACACUCUUGAAAAUGAGGGUUGUUUCAUUAGAUAGACUGUUGAACUUGACACCAUUAGGGGAC